rnacentral:rRNA from 1 species
CCUACGGGAGGCAGCAGUGGGGAAUAUUGCACAAUGGGGGAAACCCUGAUGCAGCGACGCCGCGUGAGUGAAGAAGCGUUUCGGCGCGUAAAGCUCUGUCAGCGGGGAAGAAACACGGUUCGCGAGAGCCGCGGCUGGUACUCGACCAAGAAGCCUCGGCUAACUACGUGCCAACAGCCGCGGUAAUACGUAUGGGGCAAGCAGUAUCCGGCUUCAUUGGGUGUAAAGGGGGCGUAGGCGGCGAGACUAGUCUGGAGUGAACGGCCGGGGCCCAACCCCGGGACUGCUCUGGAAACUGGCUGGCUGGAGUACAGGAGAGGUAAGUGGAAUUCGUGGUGUAGCGGUGAAAUGCGUAGAUAUUAGGAAGAACACCAGUGGCGAAGGCGGCUUACUGGACUCUGACUGACGUUGAGGCACGAAAGCGUGGGGAGCGAACAGGAUUAGAUACCCCAGUAGUC